rnacentral:miRNA from 1 species
CCAAGGAAAAUAUUUUCCUUGUUUUCAAGGAAAAUGUGGUCACGUGACCAAAACAAGGAAAAUAUUUUCCUUGG